rnacentral:rRNA from 1 species
AGGACGAACGCUGGCGGCGUGCUUAACACAUGCAAGUCGAGCGGAAAGGCCCUUCGGGGUACUCGAGCGGCGAACGGGUGAGUAACACGUGAGUAACCUGCCCUCAACUUUGGGAUAACCCUCGGAAACGGGGGCUAAUACCGGAUACGACACGGCUUCGCAUGGGGUCCGUGUGGAAAGUUUUUCGGUUGGGAUGGGCUCGCGGCCUAUCAGCUUGUUGGUGGGGUGAUGGCCUACCAAGGCGACGACGGGUAG